AUGGAAGGCGACGGCGGCACGGCGGCGGCCUGGAUGGCGACGCACCGCGGUAUGUAUGAGCGGGCCACGCGGCACCCCUUCACCGUCUCGAUCCGCGACGGUUCCGUCGACCUGGCCGCCUUCAAACGCUGGCUCGGUCAGGACUACAUGUUCGUGCGGGAAUUUGUUGCAUUUCUAGCUAGUGUACUGCUCAAGUGUUGCAAACAAUCAGACAGCUCGGACAUGGAAACAAUCCUAGGUGGCUUGGCUUCUCUUAGCGAUGAGCUCUCUUGGUUCAAGAAGGAAGCUGCUAAAUGGAGUGUUGAUCUGGCCGGUAUUUCCCCCCUCAGUUCUAAUAUGGAGUACUGCAGGUUUCUCCAGAGCUUUGAUGAUCCAGAGAUCAGCUACACUGUUGCCAUAACUACGUUUUGGAUAAUUGAAACCGUGUACCAGGAUAGUUUUGCUUCCUGCAUAGAAGAAGGUAACAAGACGCCGGCGGAGCUCCUGGGGACCUGUCAGAGAUGGGGCAGCCCUGAGUUCAAGCAGUACUGCCAGUCUCUGCAGCGGAUCGCUGAUCGCUGCUUGGCGAAUGCGCCACCUGAUGUUGUCAAGAAUGCUGAAGAGGCUUUUCUUCGUGUGCUCGAGCUGGAGAUUGGAUUCUGGGACAUGAGUUCUUCUCAGUCCUAA
rnacentral:rRNA from 1 species